UACGUAGGGUCCAAGCGUUAUCCGGAAUCACUGGGCGUAAAGCGUGCGUAGGCGGCGUGUUAAGUGUGAUGUUAAAUCGUGGGGCUCAACCCUAUCGAUGCAUCGCAUACUGGCAUGCUAGAGGAAGGCAGAGGCAAGUGGAAUUUGUAGUGUAGCAGUGAAAUGCGUAGAUAUUACAAGGAACACCAAUGGCGAAGGCAGCUUGCUGGGCCUUUUCUGACGCUGAGGUACGAAAGCGUGGGGGAGCGAAACAGG
rnacentral:rRNA from 1 species